rnacentral:rRNA from 1 species
GAUGAACGCUGGCGGCGUGCCUAAUACAUGCAAGUCGAGCGAACAGACGAGGAGCUUGCUCCUCUGACGUUAGCGGCGGACGGGUGAGUAACACGUGGAUAACCUACCUAUAAGACUGGGAUAACUUCGGGAAACCGGAGCUAAUACCGGAUAAUAUAUUGAACCGCAUGGUUCAAUAGUGAAAGACGGUUUUGCUGUCACUUAUAGAUGGAUCCGCGCCGCAUUAGCUAGUUGGUAAGGUAACGGCUUACCAAGGCAACGAUGCGUAGCCGACCUGAGAGGGUGAUCGGCCACACUGGAACUGAGACACGGUCCAGACUCCUACGGGAGGCAGCAGUAGGGAAUCUUCCGCAAUGGGCGAAAGCCUGACGGAGCAACGCCGCGUGAGUCAUGAAGGUCUUCGGAUCGUAAAACUCUGUUAUUAGGGAAGAAGAAAUGUGUAAGUAACUAUGCACGUCUUGACGGUACCUAAUCAGAAAGCCACGGCUAACUACGUG